rnacentral:rRNA from 1 species
AGCGAACGUUAGCGGCGCGCUUAACACAUGCAAGUCGCACGAGAAAGGGCUUCGGGCCCCGUAAAGUGGCGCACGGGUGCGUAACACGUAGGCAAUCUUCCCUUGAGCGGGGGAUAACGUUUCGAAAGAGACGCUAAUACCGCAUAAGACCACGACCGGUUCGCCGGUUGCGGUCAAAGCUGGCCUCUUCUUGAAAGCUAGCACUUAAGGACGAGCCUGCGGCCCAUCAUGCUAGUUGGAGUUGUAACGGACUACCAAGGCGAAGACGGGUAGCUGGUCUGAGAGGAUGAUCAGCCACACUGGAACUGAAACACGGUCCAGACUCCUACGGGAGGCAGCAGUGGGGAAUAUUGGACAAUGGGCGAAAGCCUGAUCCAGCGACGCCGCGUGAGUGAUGAAGGCC